rnacentral:lncRNA from 1 species
AAUCACAUAAGCUCCUCUCCUUGCCUUUAAAUCCACCACCGGCGAGGCGUAUCACUAUUUUCAUGAGGUAGUCAAAGAGAUCGAGAGAUGUCUGAAGACAGUUAUGCCACACGAUGGCGACAGAGGGCAGCUGCUCAACAAGUGUCCUCCACACUCUCUCAUCUGAGCACAGAUGGAUUUGGUGUGUUUAAUGUUGGACCCACUGGUAAGACAAACACCCUUUUCCACAAAUAAAGACACUCACAUAAAGUUGCAUAUAUUCAAACCUCACGUGACAAAGGUGGGUUUAGCACACAGAUCACAACAUAAACUCCAAAAAUGGCAUUAAAUAAAUUAAAUAAAUUUGGCCCACAAAACUGAAUAUUAUAAUAUCCGUAUGUUGGCUUAAAGUAGAUUACGCAUCUGAGCACUGAAACAAAUCAUCUGUUCAGCCGCAGCAGCAAGCAAGACGGACAGAGCACACGGAGACGUGUCCAGGUCGAGCUGUGCGAGAAAUAAGAGGAAGAAAGAAAAGGAGGGAGACACAUUACAUAUCUUGUUAACUUCAUCGUGUGUUUAUUUACUAGAUAUUUAAUUUAAUUUGAUGCAGUUUCAGCUGUAUUGAUUCGGUCAGGUUGUGUGCCCAAACGCGUGCCAAACGCGUGCCAAACGCGCUCAUCCGAUCAGAUAUAGAUCAGAAUAUAUCGAUAUAGAUCUAAAUGUAUGUGCUGACUCAGAUUAUUAGUUGUUGAUGAUUAUUUAUUGCACUGAAAUCUGCCUGACACUGUGGAAACCUGCCGGUGAGGCAUCAGUGACGUAUGUCGAUACGCCGCCGUUCUACCAAAAUACUACUAGACCAGCUGCGUUCCGUCUUGCGCUGAAAGCUGACCAGGUUUGAAUCGGCGAGCUUUCAGCGCACGUUACACGCCGGUGGCGAGCACGAAAAUGUCACUGCGCCAGCUGAUUCUGUCAACACCUCCCCCUGCCACGCCACCACGCCCAGCUUGGCGGAUCUCGGCUCGCCUCCGUGCGACUCAGUCCACGAAAAUACCAAACUCGCCUUACGCCGGGCUCUGCCAGACGAAAAUACAACUGCGCGGGGCUCGCCGCCCUCCGCCGCCUCACCGGCGCGAACGAAAAUAGAGCCCUCUGUGUGUGUACACCACUGUUUUCUACUUCUGUAUCAAUUGAGCCACUUCUGUCAAAAAGUCUGAGUAUGCUGCCGGUUUUAGUUCUGACAGCCUGAUCCUUCUCUUCCUCCACUCUUCACUGUGCAGGCUCCUCUUGACACCACUGUGUCAGCACUUUACCUUCAACAUGAACCAGCAUCCGUCUCAUGAUGUACAAGAACCUAAAGAAAGCUCCCCCUCUCAGGAGAGCAUCUGUUCUGAGGAAGCUAUUUAGGGCUUUUUCCUCACCAGCACUCAGACCGCUCCUACCUGGGGCUCCUCGUCGAGACAUUCCUCGUCUAAUUCUCCAAAUGUUUGAGUCAAACAACACUAAGUUAUAUUCUGAUUGUGGUAUGUCUGGCACAGAUAUUGUCUUUAUGAAACCCGAUGUCUGUCGUUCAUUAAGCUAGAAACUGCAUACUGAGUAGUGUGGCAGGAUUUCUGAAACUUGAAUAAUUAUGACUACCAGCUGUUUACACAAGGGCUAGUGGAUUGAUGUGAUUAUCCACAUGAUGUAUCCAUGGCCCCUGAAGACAAACACAGAAAAAGUGCAAUUUUUCACAGAGCUACAGCAGUACAAAUUGCAAAAAAGGUGUGGCACUUGGCUGAAAGAGGAAUCAAGCAGGUGUACGUGAAUUUUUAACUUGAUCAUCAUCUGCUGAUUUUUGAAGGGGAGUUUUGAAGCCAGGGGCUGAUCAAGGGGUUGGCCAAAGGAGGCUGUGCCCCCCCAGUAGACUAUUCGCCAUCCCAAAAUCAUGAUUGGCUGUUAAUGGCUCUUAAUUUAAAUAGUGGGGGGCCUUAGGGAUAUUUUCGUUCACUUUUGUCUAAAAGCGCCAAAUUUGGCACAGGUGUAGCUCAGGGCAUACUUAAAUGAUUUAGCUAGGGCUUUGGGGUCGCCACAGCGGCCAAUCCAAUAUGGCCGCCACUUGUAAUAGCUUUUGUCUCUAACAUUUGAAACAGAUGAGCUACAAAUGUAAACUUGGUGUCUAUUCAUGUGUUUUGACAAUUAGAAAUGUGUUGGAAUGCUCUUUUUUAUUUUUGGGUGUGUCUAGACCCCUAAUUUGCAUAUUUCCAAGUGGCGUUUUGCUAUUCUGAAGACAUUGGAUGUAACUUGGCCAUUGUUAUGAGUAAAACCUGGUGCAAUAGGUCUAAUUCAACUAAUUCUGACAUGCAUGAUUCCUUUCUGAUGUUUAUAUGAAAUGUCAGGGGUGGUGGUGGUGGGGGGGGGUUGGCUGUGGUUGUGACAUUUUGAAGACAUUGGUUUCGCUUAAACGUCAUAGGUGGUGAAAACA